UUCUCAGGAGACACGGGAUGGGUCCUGUGGCCGGCGCGUGGUCUUUUGAACCCGAGAAGCAGAUUCGCGGCUGGAGAUAACUCGGCUAGAAUCAGGACCUGAAGAAAGAGGUCUGUUACUAGUCCACGGCUGGUGUUAAGAAAGAUAGUACUAAUUUUCUGCCACGGCUCCUGCCCAGUCCGAUCUUCGAUCUUUUCCUCCAGGAAACGAAUCUGCUGCCGGAACUCGAGAGUUCAGUGACUCGGCAGGAGAAGAUGGCGACCGUGUGGGACGAGGCUGAGCAAGAAGGAAUUGGGGAAGAGGUGCUG